UAACUCCUCGUGAUCUUGUCGCCUUGCCGUUCCUAACACUCCAUGCUCUGAGAUCAGUAUACAAUAUCUUAGGUCGAUCGGGACGGAAUACUGCUGCACUUCAACGCGUGAAAUAAAUGAAGGAUUUUGACCUGUGAUCGAGAGGCAUGUGAUCAUGUUGGCGGGCGGGAAUUCAGAGGAGGAAUUCAGCUAGCUCAAUGGAUAUAUCUUGGGAAAAGAAUCCCGAAUUCUAAUUAGUGCCGGGGCACUCUGUUGUGUUACAGGGUGCUCCCCACCCGCGCCCUUCGAUCUUCAGCUAACGGUGUAUACCAAGCGGUGGCUUUUAUGGGAAGUCUGUGGUGUACGUGGCCAGGCUGUCACGGAAUAAAUCCUCGUCUUCCUCUCGCCGCCUGUUCUUCAUCGUCAAAACUCCAUGUACAGUAUCCCAAGUCCCGACACAGGAACCAGAGGUGGUGGACUGGUGAUGGUGCGCAUCUGACGACGCCCGCCCGGCCCCGGCACACUCAACCUCCGCCGGUGGCUCACCCGCUUGGCCCCGGCGCGCUCGACCUUCGCCGGCCACUCACCUGCCCGGCCCUUGCGCGCCGGACCUUCGCCGGCGAUUCACCUGCUCGGCCCCGAUGGAGUCGGCGCUCGACGCCGUCUUCCUUGCGCCGGAUCUCGACCGCGUCGGCCGGAUCAGAUUCUACGAAUUGGUGAGCUAUCAUGCUGGAUGUAUUUUUCGUAACGGGAUCGUCUACUUUUCAAUGUUUUCCCCUCAAUUCUGGAUACAGUAUUGUAACUGGAUGUAAGAGUACCAAUUGUUUCCCCAAUUUUGGAUGUAUAUUUUUGCAACUGCAUGUAAUUUUCCUACAUUUUUUACAUUCCGAAGUGAUGAAAAGCUCGAGAUGUAUUUUUUCCUCAAUUGUAGAUGAGAGUAUGAGACUCGCGCAUCUAAAUGUAUUUUUUUGUCAUUUUCUACAUCCAGACUCUUGAAUGGAUCAAGACAUCAAACACUAUUAUGUUUUGUAAUCCCAGUUUUGAUGCAUCUGGAUGUAUUUUUUUUUA